rnacentral:rRNA from 1 species
UACGAAGGGGGCUAGCGUUGUUCGGAAUUACUGGGCGUAAAGGGCGCGUAGGCGGUGCCUCAAGUCAGGCGUGAAAGCCCCGGGCUCAACCUGGGAACUGCGUCUGAUACUGGAUGGCUUGAGGUUGGGAGAGGGAUGCGGAAUUCCAGGUGUAGCGGUGAAAUGCGUAGAUAUCUGGAGGAACACCGGUGGCGAAGGCGGCAUCCUGGACCAAUUCUGACACUGAGGAGCGAAAGCCAGGGGAGCAAACGGG